rnacentral:rRNA from 1 species
AUGCUUCUCCUAAAGACUAAGCCAUGCAUGCCUAAGCCUAGGAGGUAGUAAUACUCUCUGAAUCUGCGAACGGCUCCGCAAACCAGUUGUAAACCACAGCAAGCCCGCAAGGGUGGGCCUCGGCUCGCCUGCGCGAUACGGAUAACCCUGGUAAUUCUAAGGCUAAUACGUGUAUGGAACACCCGGUGGACCGGCCUUGUGCUGGGAAACCGGGAGGCGAGGGAUUGAAUGUUUGGAUUACCAGGAACGGGCG